AUGCAUGUUUUCCAUCACAUGUAUGCAGCCAUGUAUGCCAAGCAAGGCUGGCCUCAGAUGGGUGCCACAACUUGGGGUGUCUUUGGCUCGCUUGUGAAGGAGAGUAAGGGGAAGAGGCAAGGUUGUGCUGCUACACCUCAUCGUUUGUCCGCUCGGUCUGCAAUGCUCUCCAACGACAGGUUGGAGAUGAAGUGGUUGCACGCGAAGUGAGCGGCAUGGUGGCCCGCAUUUCCAUCGAGGAAAAAGCACAGGGGCGGGGCAGAGUGGAGGCGACACUGAUUAUACACCAAACUUUCACUCCCAAUACUGCAUGAAGCACCCUGCCUCGUCAUGUUCUUCUGACUGAAGUUUGAUGUAGCCCUGAAUAUAUGUGCAACGGUGACACUGCACUUACUUUGCCAGCCCCUGCAAUCAAAUUUGUCAACCCAUAGAGCAUAGUCCAU
rnacentral:rRNA from 1 species